GCCUCGGUAGCUCAGCGGAUAGAGCAGGAGCCUUCUAAUCUCUUGGCCGCCGGUUCGAGUCCGGCCCGGGGCACAA
rnacentral:tRNA from 2 species